AACCCAUGGUGAGGGCAUUUUCGCAAAAGGUCUUUGUAUCUCUCCUAUGCAUCGUGAGAGUGUCUCUAAAUCCAUCUGCAUAAAAUAAGAGAUAUAUUACGUAAUUU